rnacentral:rRNA from 1 species
UACGGAGGGGGCGAGCGUUAUUCGGAAUUAUUGGGCGUAAAGGGCGCGUAGGCGGCUUGGCAAGUGGAAGGUGAAAUCCCUCGGCUUAACCGAGGAACUGCCCUCCAAACUGCUUCGCUUGAGACCGGGAGAGGUGAGUGGAAUUCCCAGUGUAGCGGUGAAAUGCGUAGAUAUUGGGAGGAACACCAGUGGCGAAGGCGGCUCACUGGACCGGUACUGACGCUGAUGCGCGAAAGCGUGGGGAGCAAACGGG